rnacentral:lncRNA from 1 species
AUGGGGGCAAGGAGAGGAGCUGGAACCCUCAUGCUCUGCUGGCGGGAAUAUCAAGCAGGUGCCAGGCCCAUCGGAGGCGGCUCUUCCCGCGUGAGCAGGCCCGGGCCGCAGAGGACAUGCCCAUGGCUGCUGAUAGCAGAUGUCCCUCGCAUCACUGCAGUGUCAUGCACCCAGAUGGGAGAGCCGCCUUUCCUGUUUGAGGAUCCUGAGCGUGGAUCUAGUGGAGGAGAAGGAGGAGAGAAGGAGGCAUGGCCGGAGGAAGAUGGACACCAGAGGAAGGAGGGUGAUGCCCAGCAGGAUCGGGAGCGGAGUCUUUUCCAGGUGUUCUCUGUCCCCGAGACCCCAGUCAGCACACUGAAGGCUCUCAAUGAUUAUUUGGUGAGUGAAUGAAUGAUGUAGACACAGCGAUGGGGUCCCUGUGGCUAAGAAAAAUGACCUCAGAAGUGUUUGGAGAUACACAACCGGGCAGCAGGUGGGGUGGGAGUGGACCCUCGAGGUCUGCAACCAGCAGGAGCAGGGGUGACAUCAGGAUGGGCAGCACAGCUGUGAUGUUUGGCCCCCAAAGGCCUUCUCGCUGAGAGCCAGCGGGGCAGCCUGGGACACGGGUGCACAUGGGGCUCUGUCCACGUCCCAGGAAUGGCAGAGGCCUUCUCCCGACAGUGUCAUGUGUCCCCCGUCACCUGGAAGAUUUGUCCACUGCGUUUUCUUCCCCAGAGAGGAGGUGAAGGACUUCCAGAAUCGUUCUCACCAAAGUGGAGGAAUCAAGGAAGAAGAUAGAUGAUCUGGAUAUGGUGUGUCAGGUUCCUCUAAAGGUCUGUGAGCAUCCCCCAUGUGCUGACAUUUUGCUGUUAAAAAUAUUUAAGGAGGGAUCCCUGGGUGGCUCAGUGGUUUAGCACCUGCCUUUGGCCCAGGACGCGAUCCUGGAGUCCCGGGAUCGAGUCCCACGUCGGGCUCCUGGUGCAUGGAGCCUGCUUCUCCCUCCUCCUGUGUCUCUGCCUCUCUCUCUCUCUCUAUGUCUAUCAUAAAUAAUAAAUAAAUAAAUAUUUUUAAAAAAAUAUUUAAG